rnacentral:rRNA from 1 species
AACGAACGCUGGCGGCGCGCCUAAUACAUGCAAGUCGAGCGAGAAGACGUAGCAAUACGUUUGUAAAGCGGCGAACGGGUGAGGAAUACAUGGGUAACCUACCCUCGAGUGGGGAAUAACUAGCCGAAAGGUUAGCUAAUACCGCGUACGCUCCUUGGACUUCGGUUCAGGGAGGAAAGCGAUACCGUGGGUAUCGCGCUCUUGGAUGGGCUCAUGUCCUAUCAGCUUGUUGGUGAGGAACGGCUCACCAAGGCUUCCACGGGUAGCUGGUCUGAGAGGACGAUCAGCCACACUGGCACUGCGACACGGGCCAGACUCCUACGGGAGCAGCAGUAAGGAAUAUUGCGCAAUGGGCGAAAGCCUGACGCAGCGACGCCGCGUGGGGGA